rnacentral:rRNA from 1 species
UACGUAGGGUGCGAGCGUUGUCCGGAAUUACUGGGCGUAAAGAGCUCGUAGGUGGUUUGUCGCGUUGUUCGUGAAAACUCACAGCUUAACUGUGGGCGUGCGGGCGAUACGGGCAGACUGGAGUACUGCAGGGGAGACUGGAAUUCCUGGUGUAGCGGUGGAAUGCGCAGAUAUCGGGAAGAACACCCGUGGCGAAGGCGGCUCUCUGGGACGGUACUGACGCUGAGACGCGAAAGCGUGGGGAGCGAACAGG